UCAGGCCUAACACAUGCAAGUCGAGCGGGGUUUUCGGACCUAGCGGCGGACGGGUGAGUAAUGCGUAGGAAGCUACCCGACAGAGGGGGAUACCAGUUGGAAACGACUGUUAAUACCGCAUAAUGUCUACGGACCAAAGUGUGGGACCUUCGGGCCACAUGCUGUCGGAUGCGCCUACGUGGGAUUAGCUAGUUGGUGAGGUAAUGGCUCACCAAGGCGACGAUCCCUAGCUGGUUUGAGAGGAUGAUCAGCCACACUGGAACUGAGACACGGUCCAGACUCCUACGGGAGGCAGCAGUGGGGAAUAUUGGACAAUGGGCGCAAGCCUGAUCCAAAGAGGCCGCGUGUGUGAAGAAGGCCUUCGGGUGUAAAUAAAGGUCAGCGAGGAGGAAGGGUUGUG
rnacentral:rRNA from 1 species